rnacentral:tRNA from 1 species
GCUCCCGUAGUUCAAUGGAUAGAACGGCCGCGUCCUAAGCGGGUAAUGUCAGUUCGAUUCUGGCCGGGAGCA